UACAGAGGGUGCGAGCGUUAAUCGGAAUUACUGGGCGUAAAGCGCACGUAGGCGGCUUUGUAAGUCGGGGGUGAAAGCCUGUGGCUCAACCACAGAAUUGCCUUCGAUACUGCAUGGCUUGAGACCGGAAGAGGUAAGUGGAACUGCGAGUGUAGAGGUGAAAUUCGUAGAUAUUCGGAAGAACACCAGUGGCGAAGGCGGCUCACUGGACUGGUAUUGACGCUGAGGUGCGAAAGCGUGGGGAGCAAACAGGG
rnacentral:rRNA from 1 species